rnacentral:rRNA from 1 species
GACGAACGCUGGCGGCGUGCUUAACACAUGCAAGUCGCACGGUAAGGCCCUUCGGGGUACACGAGUGGCGAACGGGUGAGUAACACGUGGGUGAUCUGCCCUGCACUUCGGGAUAAGGCUGGGAAACGGGGUCUAAUACCGGAUAGGACCACUGCCUGCAUGGGUGGUGGUGGAAAGCUUUUGCGGUGUGGGAUGGGCCCGCGGUCUAGCAGCUUGUUGGGGGGGUGAUGGCCUACCGAGGCGACGACGGGUAGCCGGCCUGAGAGGGUGACCCGCCACACUGGGACUGAGAUACGGCCCAGACUCCUACGGGAGGCAGCAGUGGGGAAUAUUGCACAAUGGGCGCAAGCCUGAUGCAGCGACGCCGCGUGAGGGAUGACGGCCUUCGGGUUGUAAACCUCUUUCAGCACCGACGAAGCGCAAGUGACGGUAGGUGCAGAAGAAGGACCGGCCAACUACGUGCCAGCAGCCGCAGUAA